CACCACUUCUGCCCUCCUUGCCUGGGCACCCCUCUAACAGGAAGUUAAGCCAUGCUGAGCUAUAUAUGUGAGCACUGUGCAUGACUACCUGCACUCUCAGAUUGUUAGCACAGCUCCACAUAAGAAUGCUGACAAUGCAUUUGCUAAUCCAGGGUAGCAAUCAUGGAAAUGGGUAGACCAGCUACACCCCACCACUCCAACAAAAGGCAAUUUACAUUCUGUAAUGUGUGUAGAAAUCUGUUUCCUUCCAUCAUAAUCCAUAGAACAAUAAACAAUUUCUCAGUUGCUCACAAUAGGAAACAAAAGUAGGGCAGUAAGGCAAAAAUCAGCCCUCACAAAUCCCAUGGGUGAUGACCCAGGGAACAAAAGGUCAAUAAACAUAUUUCAGAUAUUCAAGAAGAUAGUGGAGUAAAUCUUUUACCAGUCAUUCUGUAAUCAGUAGAGUGUAAAAUACCAGCAUGGCUUUGUUCCAGGGUGAUUGUGCCAAAACAAUCAAACCUUCUUCUUCAAGAAGGAGCUCAAGUUAGUGGAUGCUGUCUUGACGUCCGUAGCAUGCCUGUCAAAACCACAAAGGCCUCUGUGAGCCAGAAGAACUGCACAGGAUAGAAGCAAACCAAAAACUGCGGCUCCUUCUCAGCCAACAGAUGGUGCCUGAGGAACAGCAGAAGAAACUAAGUGCCUCCUAGCAAUAUAUUAAAGAGCAUAAAUGUGUAAGUGAAAGAGCAACAAAAGUGUAAUCCCUCGUUUUCGGCUGCCGAAAUCAGGCAGAUAUGAACUUCUAAAGGUUUCAUUUCCCAGCUCCAUAUUUGAUAUAGGGGAAAAAGUUGUAGAAAGGCUUAUGUCCAGAAAAAAUGCAUGAAACACAGGUUUUAAUUAGCUCCUUCCUAGGAGGCCGACUGACUUUGGGAGGUAUUGUGAGAUUUAUGCAGAGAUUUGCACCCCUUGCCCAGUUUACACUGACCUGUCCUACUGUGGUUUGGGUAGGUUUAAUUUCCCUCGCAGUAGCUCAGACAGUGCUAUGCUUCGGAUUUGUAAUGAAAAUAGUACUGAUAACAUAGCAGAAGCUAUCUUCAUACGGCAUCCCUGCUGCUAUUAUUUUAAUGAUUGAAGCCCACACAGCUCUAAUUUUUCAGAGUUUUGGGGUGCUUUUGGAAAGUAUUUUAUCCAGUUUACAAUUCAAGCAAUACAUCAGCCUCCGUAGAGCUGUUCUGCUGUUUACCACUGAUCUAUAUAACUUCGGUAGUCUGUGCAAGAGCUCUGGGCUGCCCCCAGGAUCAGGUACAGCCUCACAGGGACCAUACGUAUAUGCAGUUAUACAGCAGACUCUUCUCAUGACCACAGCACUGGUCAGGACUAAUAAUGAUCUGCAUCUCUCUUAUCCUCCCCUUCUUCUUCCUCCCCGUUAAAUCCACAUCUGAUUUCUAGAGACAGCAACUAAGAUAGUCUUAACUGUCUUCAGUGAAAGCAUCCCCAUGUCUGAGUACCUGAUGGAGCUGUAGGUGUCCCUCUGCAUUGCAGAGCGUGGGACCAGAUGGCCUUUAGGGGGUCCCUUCCAACUCAAACACUUCCAUGAUUCUGUGACUAACCCUGCUAAUAGAAUUAAGCACAGAAAUUAAUUCCCAACAGAAAACUAUUUCUUUUAUAUUCUUUGUUUGUUUUCUGUUAGAGAGGAUCACCUGUCUCCUCUACUCACAACCACAAAGCUAAUACGAAAUAGGGCCUUAAGCAAUGGGAUGCGUAUGGCUUGCCUGUAUCCUCUAUCAUUGAGCACCCACUUUCACAGAAGGGCAGAAAAUGUCCCGAAGUGUGGGGAAUGGCUAAGCAGGAAUUUGUUUCUAGUUUAAAUACACCUUAAAACCUUCAGCUUCAACUCUAACAAAACAGAAAAGGGGUCAAGGGAAGCACUCAUUAUAUGAAAUCCCUCUGUGCUGUUGCUGCUAAGAUCCUACUGCUGUGGGAACGUAUUGCAGAGACUGUUUUGUAUUUAUCUCUCAGUUUAUCAGAGGACUGUGUCAAAGAAAAUGAUGAGUGGAAGAUAAGCUACUUCAAGACUGACAAGACCGUGCUGUCUGUGUUGCUUGAACAGCAACACACAUGUUAACCAGCAUCGUUAAGGAAAUUGUGAAUCAGGAUUGCAUGCCUGAUGGCACUUGUAAGGAGCAGCCACAACCUAAUGAGUGCCACGGCUCUUUGGUUAUUGCAAUGUACUGCCAGUUACAUCUGUGAAACAAGGUGAAGAUAAAAGAUAGAGAAUAAUAAAG
ensembl:lncRNA